UAGUUUACAGUAAGGCUAUUCAUAGUAAUCUGAGUUAAUUUAGAGUACUUAAAUUUUUUAUAUUUUGUGUAGUAUAUUUGCUGUUAACUUUUUAGGUACCUUAUGGCAUUAUAUGAACUACCAUAAUGAAAGGCAUUAUAUGAACCUCCACUAACAACAACAACAACAACAACAACAACAAUAAUAAUAGCCUCAGUAGUUACAGGUUGAUCACAAAGGGUUAAAAAUGUAUGGUUUUCAUUGUCUUCCCUUUCAGAUCUAAAUAUAAAGAAAGUAAAGACAAUGGAGGUGAAACAUAUAUUUCUUUAGAAUUAAGCGGAAUUGAAUAAAGUUGCAUUUUUUAAAACAAUAUAUAAAAUUCAGCCAAGAUAUGCAAAUUUGCCCACAUUCCAAAUCAUCAACAAGGUCAUAUGCUUAUAACCCAAAGUUGGGUGCAUAUAUAGAUCAGGAAAUUGGAAGAAUUUCCUCUCUUUAUACAUGUUCUCCACGAGACAGGAUGAAUAUACUUAAUAGAUUAUUCUAAUGCAUAAAGAAUAGUUAAUGAAAUUUUAUGAGGAUUUAGUUCAUCCAUUUAUGUUAUGUAAUGUCAUAUUGCCCUGUAGAUGGCAGCAUUGUUCCAUUGUGUUACAUUUUCUAAUUUCAUCAACAUAGAAAAAUACUGCAAUUUAUCACAGUUGCACUAUUGCAAAAUUUAAUGAAGAGCUUUGCACAGUUUAAUGAAGAGCUUUAGUUUGGCCAAUUUCCACCCAGUUUUACCAAGCAGAAUAUUUAGAUAGAAAUAAAAUAGAAAUAAAACAAACAAAAUGAACACAUUUCAUAAUUCAGAAAAUAGUAAUCCAUGUUGCAAUCAUGUUUCAUAUAAUCUAAUACUUUGGGCUCCUGAUCUAAUGGACAGACAUUCACAUCUAUUAGUAUCCACUGAUCUCAGGGAAACCUAUGAGUAUUGUAAGCAUUUGCAAGCACAUUCACAUGAAAUGUUUGCCCAAUUUUCCACUACCAUAUAUAUCAUAGACACAGGCUGAUUGAUUGUUUUUUGGGGGAAAUAAUAGAAGAAAAAGUAUCCAGUAGAUUCCAGUCAAAUUAAACAGGGAUUAAGAGUUUAUGUGGCAUAUAUAAACUAUGGGAUCUAUUUAAUUUGGGGGUGAGCAAUGUGUAGCCUUUGAGUUGUAAUUAGCCACCAGCACCUGGGAGCUAAAGCCAGUUUGAUCACUGAUCAAAAAAAAAAAGAUGGAUUGUGCUGAAUCAUAGUUGGAGAGUCAUAGGGCUUCUACUCUUCAUUUAAUUGGUAGUUACACAACUGUUUUCUGUGUAACAUCUGCAUUUCCUAAAAGCACUGCAAUGAAUAUAUUUAUUUAAAGGAUGUAUAUCACAAGUUAGCAACACAGAGCUUGCAGGCCCUGGAGCUUGUGUCAUCCUUCCAAAAUGAAUGUGCCUUCCCCAAAAUUAAUUGUUUUAUUUUUAAGAACAAACUGCAGAAUCCCUGAGUGAUGUGCCAAGGCUGGAUUUUCUACACCCAGGCUAGGAUUAUUUGUCUGCUCCUGGCCGUAGAAAACAAAAUACUGCUAUACUUCUGAGAAGACUCUCAUCUAACAUUUCCGCCUGGUUCAGUCGGUUAACCUUUUGCAAUGCUCAUGCUUGGAAGGUUAGUCAAAUUUAACUGGUUCUUUUUCUUCUUUUCCAACCCAACAAAGGAGGAGGAGAUGUCUGUUCAUCGAGCAGAAGAAAACUGAAUAGAAUAUGACCAGAUUUCAUGGUUGUAUCUUGGUGGGCAGAACAGUAAAAGAAAGAUCAACUUUCAAAAUGGGCUGAGUCAGAUGGGGCCAUGAGGUACUUUGGGUACUUUGGGGUACUUUGAUGAGAAGCGAAACAACGUCAAAGAAAAACCAGAAAGUCCAGUUGCCUCUAAAAAAAGCACCUUUGGGACAACCAUGACUGAGAAGGUCCAUAGACAUCUCCCUGUUUUACUUUUUACAAUAGUUCUGUCAGAUUAAGUACAAUAUGUUGAGAGAGUUUGGCCCCAGGCAACACUUAAUAAUCUUCAUGGUUGAAUUACUGAGAUACUUAAGUAUCAUUUGCUGCAUACAGUUUUCAUUGUCUUUCUCCUCCCCUCCUUCUAUUUCCUCAGAUUUCAGUUUCCAUAUGUCCCAGAAACCAUGAAGUUAUCUCACACAUACAAGGUUAAAAUCUUCAGGAUAAAGAAUUUAAUAUUAACCAGCAUCCAUCUGUAGUUUCAAUCAUUACUCUAUGCAUGGAAAUAUAUACCCAGCAAACUGAAAUAUUAAUUUACAAAUUAUAUUUGACUAAAACAAGAACAGACUAGCAUUCUGAACAAAGACACUACCUUAGAUUAUCAGUCCAGCAUCAUAGCUCACUUUAGCCAGGUACUCUUCAACCAUCUUGUUUCUGUAUUUCCCAUUGGACCAGGAAAUUACAGUUUUCUUCAAGAGUGAAAGCCCAUGUAGUUUUUUAAAUAGCUCAGGCUACAUUUUUCUGCAUGGAACACAGCUCUACCCACCCUCCAGAGGUGGGUUUCAGCAGGUUCUGACCAGUUCUGGAAAACUGGUAGCGGAAAUUUUGAGUAGUUCAGAAAACCGGUAGUAAAAAUUCUAACUGGCCCAGCCCCAUCUAUUCUCUGCCUCCCAAGUCCCAUCUGAUUGGGAGAAAAUGGGGAUUUUGCAGUAACCUUUCCCUGGAGUGGGGAAGGAAUGGAGAUUUUACAGUAUCCUUCCCCUGGAGUGGGGUGGGAAUGGAGAUUUUACAGUAUCCUUCUCCUGCCGUGCCCACCAAGCCAUGCCCACCAAGCCACACCCACAGAACUGGUAGUAAAAAAAAUUGAAGCCCACUACUGCCCCCCUCUCCCAUGUCCCAGUAGCUGAUAUGCCCAUCAAAGACCUCACUAAAACCAUUAAGUCUAAAGUUUAAAAUAAUGCUGUGAAUAUUUGUUUCAUGAAAUAAAUAAAUCAAAUGAUAAAUGUCAAAUAGAGGGGGAUGUGUUGCUAAAAUCAUGUUUUCUUUAUGAGUCAGUAACCAAGAAAAGCUUAGCUACCUUCCUAGAUUAUUAGCUGCUCUUUGAGGUACGCCCUCUAGUUAGAUAUGAAACAAAAUGCUAUUACAUGGAGGAAAUUCCAUGCCCCUAAUUGACACUACAGCCCCAGGAGCAAUACUAUUUUUAAUUAAAACAAUUCAAUAUGUUCUCUUUAAAUACUUAUAUAUUGAAGCUGAAAUGAUUAUGUACUUCAAAAUGUCUUCGCAGAACUCUGAUUCACUGUUAUUCUGUUGCCAGUCUAUCAACAGCCUGGAGACAGGUCUGUGCAUCAAAAGAACUAUCAAUACACAAUGAAGUAUUCCUGUGCUAAUGAACAAUGAAGAUGCCAUCAACAUAGGAAGGAAAAAUCCUACCAUUUUCUUCUGUUUAUGUGCAAUAUUUUUCAUGUUAUAAGUAAAUUGAAUCAGAAUGCAGAGAGAAACAUUGGAAAAAGCCACAAAUCAUUGAACAUUAGGGUAACAAUCAGUAAGUUCUAAAUAAAUAAUGUUUAUUUUUGAGUUUUAUACCAAGGUCAAACAUUUUAGAGGUCCGCUGAUAUCUUAGUAUGCCAUCACUUGAAAAUAAACUUUCAAACAAACUGUCA